GACGAACGCUGGCGGCGUGCUUAACACAUGCAAGUCGUACGGUAAGGCCCUUUCGGGGGUACACGAGUGGCGAACGGGUGAGUAACACGUGAGUAACCUGCCCACAACUUUGGGAUAACGCUAGGAAACUGGUGCUAAUACUGGAUAUGUUCUCCUGCUGCAUGGUGGGGGUUGGAAAGCUCCGGCGGUUGUGGAUGGACUCGCGGCCUAUCAGCUUGUUGGUGGGGUAGUGGCCUACCAAGGCGGCGACGGGUAGCCGGCCUGGGAGGGUGACCGGCCACAUUGGGACUGAGAUACGGCCCAGACUCCGACGGGAGGCAGCAGGGGGGAAUAUUGCACAAUGGGCGCAAGCCUGAUGCAGCAACGCCGCGUGCGGGAUGACGGCCUUCGGGUUGUAAACCGCUUUCAGCAGGGACGAAGCUUUUUGUGACGGUACCUGCAGAAGAAGCACCGGCUAACUACGUG
rnacentral:rRNA from 1 species